rnacentral:ncRNA from 1 species
CAACCUUUGAUGAUGGGAAGAAGUACUCUGCGCGCACGUAUCCAGAGAGGGACGCCGUUACGGCUGCAAGCGUCCUUAUGGUGGCGGGAGGAAUGACAUCCCGGAGAACAUCCGGCGAAGAAGGCUUUUGCGCGCAUGACGGCGCAGCCUUUGCGUAGACGGCAUGCGUGUGACGGGCGUUAACCGUUCUUUGAAGCGGAUGGACCGGCCUUAGGCCUUUUGUCCGGAAUCAGGGUGGCACCACGGGAGAUCGAGCUCUCGUCCCUGAC